CCUACGUGAGGCAGCAGUGUGGCAUAUUGCGCAAUGGGCGAAAGCCUGACGCAGCGACGCCGCGUGAGGGAUGAAGGUCUUCGGAUCGUAAACCUCUGUCAGCAGGGAAGAAUGGUCACUGUGCUAAUCAGCAGUGAAUUGACGGUACCUGCAACGGAAGCACCGGCGAACUCCGUGCCCGCAGCCGCGGUAAUACGGAGGGUGCGAGCGUUAAUCGGAGUUAUUGGGCGUAAAGCGCUCGUAGGCGGUAUGUCAAGUCAAAGGUGAAAGCCCCGCGCGCAAGGUGUGAACUGCCUUUGAAACUGGCAAGCUGGAGUGUGUGAGAGGAGAGUGGAAUUCCUGGUGUAGGGGUGAAAUGCGUAGAUAUCUGGAGGAACAUCAGUGGCGAAGGCGACUAACUGGCACGUAACUGACGCUGAGGAGCGAAAGCGUGGGUAGCAAACAGGAUUAGAUACCCCAGUAGUC
rnacentral:rRNA from 1 species